CAGAGAUGAUGCGCAAAUGCGGAUAUAAAGGUA
rnacentral:sRNA from 1 species